AAGCAAAUCACCUGAGGAUCCUGUUAAAAUGCAGAUUCUGACUCUUUCAAACUGGGAUCAAUAUUCUGCCUUUCUAACAAGUUCCCAGGUGAUGCCACC
rnacentral:pre_miRNA from 2 species